CUGAUCUUCCUGCCUUCACCUUUCAAGGGCUGGACUUACUGGCUUGUGCCACAGUUGCCAGCUUGUAUCUUUGUUCUUAAAAGCUUCCUCUUUCUCCCAUUAGGUAAACUGAUGCCCCACAAAGCUAGGCUUUGCCCUGGAAAUCAUAAACAAGGCUCCAGGAACACUGCUUACCUCUGACAGAGUAUCCCAUUUGCCCCUUGGAGGUGCGAUGUAGGGUCAGGGGAUUUAGAGGUGUUCGGUUUAAAAUUUUUCUUUUCAAUUUAAAAUUGUAUUUGCUACUUGUAGAUGAAAGUCAGAGAACAACUUUAGGAAGCUGGUUCUCUCCACCUUGGUGAGGCAAUGUCUUUUGUUUAUGCCACACUGGGCGUUCCAGGGUAGCUGGCUAGAGAGCUUCUAGGCAGAUCUCCUGUGUCUGUCUCCAAUCUGGUUGUAGGAAUCCUAGGAUUACAGAUGCCACUACAUCCAGCUUGUUAAAUGCGUUCUGAACUUCAAACUCAGGUGGCUAUUGCUGAAGAUAUUAGUUGCUCUCCACAAACUGAUGGAAAGGCCCUAUUGCUGAAGACAAUACUUACAUAUCUCACUGAACACAGAGAAGUCAAACUGGUGCCUAACUAGAGCUUUCACUCCUACUGACUGGUGUUCAUGGUACUGGAAGGUUCUCUGCAUACUACCAGAGUAGAAAAGUAACAAUCAACCCAGCUACAAAACCUGCAAUUUUACAAUGAUUGCCUGCCUUCGUGAUAUGCUUGUGCAAUAGUAACACAAACAUUGUGGGAGUAACCAACCACUCUGAUCGGAUUUAAGACCCACUCCAUGAGAUGGAACUCAGAGCUGACACUGCUCAGGUGCCCAAGACUGGAUAGACCAUGGGUCUAGGAGAACACCAAAUAUUAUUGUUCUGCUAAAGGAACAUGGCAACAAAAUGACUCAUAAUGACAUUCUGCUAUAUCCACAGAUCAGUACUCCACUUAGCCAUUAUUAGAGAAGCUUCCUCUUGCAGUAGAAGGGAAUUAACACAGAGACCCACAACUGGACAAUGUGAAGAGAGUGAU
rnacentral:lncRNA from 1 species